GAUGAACGCUGGCGGCGUGCCUAAUACAUGCAAGUCGAGCGAACAGACGAGGAGCUUGCUUCUCUGAUGUUAGCGGCGGACGGGUGAGUAACACGUGGAUAACCUACCUAUAAGACUGGGAUAACUUCGGGAAACCGGAGCUAAUACCGGAUAAUAUAUUGAACCGCAUGGUUCAAUAGUGAAAGACGGUUUUGCUGUCACUUAUAGAUGGAUCCGCGCUGCAUUAGCUAGUUGGUAAGGUAACGGCUUACCAAGGCAACGAUGCAUAGCCGACCUGAGAGGGGGAUCCGCCACACUGGAAAUGGAACACGGUCCAGACUCCUACGGGAGGCAGCAGUAGGGAAUCUUCCGCAAUGGGCGAAAGCCUGACGGAGCAAAGCCGCGUUAGUGGUGGAGGUCUUCCGAUCGUAAAACUCUGUUAUUAGGGAAGAACAAAUGGGUAAGGAACUAGGCACGUCUUGACGGUACCUAAUCAGAAAGCCACGGCUAACUACGUG
rnacentral:rRNA from 1 species